UACGUAGGAUGCAAGCGUUGUCCGGAAUUAUUGGGCGUAAAGAGCUCGUAGGCGGUCUGUCGCGUCGGCUGUGAAAUCCCGGAGCUCAACCCCGGGCCUGCAGUGGAUACGGGCUGGCUAGAGGCAGGCAGGGGAGAACGGAAUUCCUGGUGUAGCGGUGAAAUGCGCAGAUAUCAGGAGGAACACCGGUGGCGAAGGCGGUUCUCUGGGCCUGUACUGACGCUGAGGAGCGAAAGCGUGGGGAGCGAACAGG
rnacentral:rRNA from 1 species